UGGCUGGCGGCAGCUACACAUGCAAGUCGAGCGGAUGAAGGGAGCUUGCUCCUGGAUUCAGCGGCGGACGGGUGAGUAAUGCCUAGGAAUCUGCCUGGUAGUGGGGGAUAACGUCCGGAAACGGGCGCUAAUACCGCAUACGUCCUGAGGGAGAAAGUGGGGGAUCUUCGGACCUCACGCUAUCAGAUGAGCCUAGGUCGGAUUAGCUAGUUGGUGGGGUAAAGGCCUACCAAGGCGACGAUCCGUAACUGGUCUGAGAGGAUGAUCAGUCACACUGGAACUGAGACACGGUCCAGACUCCUACGGGAGGCAGCAGUGGGGAAUAUUGGACAAUGGGCGAAAGCCUGAUCCAGCCAUGCCGCGUGUGUGAAGAAGGUCUUCGGAUUGUAAAGCACUUUAAGUUGGGAGGAAGGGCAGUAAGUUAAUACCUUGCUGUUUUGACGUUACCAACAGAAUAAGCACCGGCUAACUUCGUGCCAGCAGCCGCGGUAAUACGAAGGGUGCAAGCGUUAAUCGGAAUUACUGGGCGUAAAGCGCGCGUAGGUGGUUCAGCAAGUUGGAUGUGAAAUCCCCGGGCUCAACCUGGGAACUGCAUCCAAAACUACUGAGCUAGAGUACGGUAGAGGGUGGUGGAAUUUCCUGUGUAGCGGUGAAAUGCGUAGAUAUAGGAAGGAACACCAGUGGCGAAGGCGACCACCUGGACUGAUACUGACACUGAGGUGCGAAAGCGUGGGGAGCAAACAGGAUUAGAUACCCUGGUAGUCCACGCCGUAAACGAUGUCGACUAGCCGUUGGGAUCCUUGAGAUCUUAGUGGCGCAGCUAACGCGAUAAGUCGACCGCCUGGGGAGUACGGCCGCAAGGUUAAACUCAU
rnacentral:rRNA from 1 species